rnacentral:lncRNA from 1 species
GACAACUCGCGGGGAUUGUUUUCCACACCGUGGAAGCUUUGUUCUUUUCGUUUUUUGCAAUAAAUCUUGUUGCUGCUCGCUUUUUGGGUCCACAUUGCUUUUAUGAGCUGUACCACUCACCGUGAAGAUCUGCAGCUUCACUUCAGAGCCUAGCGAGACCACAAGCUCACUGAGAGGAACAAACAACUCCAGACGCGCUGUCUUAAGAGCUAUAACACUCACCGCGAAGGUGUGCAGUUUCACUCCUGAGCUAGUGAGACUACGAAGCCACUGGAACGAAGAAACUCCAACCACGUUUGAACAUCAGAAGGGGCAGACUCCAGACGCUUCAUCUUAAGAGCUGUAACACUCACUGUGAAGGUCUGCAGCUUCACUCCUGAGCCAGCGAGACCACGAACCGAUCUGAACAUCAGAAGGGACAGACUCCAGAUGCCCCACCUUAAGAGCUGUAAUACUCACUGCAAGGGUCUGCAGCUUCAUUCUUGAAGUCAGACCAAGAACCCAGCAAUUCCCAACACACAGGGACCAGCUUCUUUCCUAACUCACUUAGGCUCUUCGUGCUGCUCUGGCAACUAACACCCUUGGCUGCAGGGGCUUGGACACUACCCUUAGUCACUGACAAUUGUGUGAAGGCUGCUGUCGUUAACUUCACUUGAUCACCUUAGGCUCCUGUGAAGUGGUGAGCAAUUCAAACAAAUUCCUGUCGUCAAAUCAUAUGGAGAAAUUGCACUGCAGAGAAAUCUUUAAAAGCAAUUACCUAAUACUGCAGAUUGCUGAACUGUACCCACACCCAAGACUGAGCAUUGGAUCAAUCCAGAAUAUACAUCAGGUGUUCUGCAAUGUCUGCCUAAAACCAUGACUCUGCCUCCUCCAGCUGUUGCUACAUCUCACUAUGGGUUUCCUGUGACAUUUUGAGCAAGUAUGCCUCUGUGACUGGGGUUCUUACACUCCAGAAUGGAUGAGAAGCACCGUAAGUGGCUUUUAAAAUGAAUAUUCCCUGGCCCUUCAGUCGCUCUAUAGGUCAAGAAUCUGAAUUCUCAACCUGUCUAGAAGGUUCUGGUUUUAAUGGUCUGUGGGCUGCACAUUGAGAAACCUGUUCAGCGAGUGCAACAAAGGUUCCACAUGUGAGAAAGGAAGCAUCAGGUCUCUUGAGCCUGUUCUUUAAUCUGUAGGCUGCACCUUCUCUUUAAAUUCUGCUAAUAACACCAUGCGAGAAAACACCCGAGCUUGAAAAGCCCAUGUUCCAACAUAACUGUCCUUCACCACUCUGGAAAAUUAAUGGUUUGUUUCGAUUAUCCCUUUGUUAAACUCCAAAGUCAAAGAGCUCUGAAAGGCAUACGGUUAUUUUAAGUUUCAGGUGAUUUCUGUUGCCAAAUAUUUUAAAAAUUUAAAAUUGCUACGUGACCUCUUAGUAGUACUAUUAGAUUUCCUGACAAUAAAAAUAAGUCUUUUGGUUUCACCAUUUAUAGUUAGUACAGCUAAUAUUAAGUAUAAUUUUAAAAGCCUUUUAUUUUCUCAGAAAGAAAAAAUAAUCAAAAUCUGCUCAGUGUGGUAUUGAAUAAUUAAAAACAAAAGAACAGUAUCUUCACAUUAGUGUUUAAUAUUAAUUGCUUUUUUACCCUUGACACUGGUGCUAAUUAAAUUUUCAUUUUAUUUUCCAUGACUUGUUUAAACAGUUUUUGCAAAUUAUUGCUAAUCAGCCUAAUAAAACUGAAUCACCUAUUAAACAAUUUUGUUUUGAAUUAAAUGGCAUUAAAAUAA